UACGUAGGGAGCAAGCGUUGUCCGGAAUCAUUGGGCGUAAAGCGCGCGUAGGCGGCCCUGUAAGUCCGCUGUGAAAGUCAAAGGCUCAACCUUUGAAAGCCGGUGGAUACUGCAGGGCUAGAGUCCGGAAGAGGCGAGUGGAAUUCCUGGUGUAGCGGUGGAAAUGCGCAGAUAUCAGGAGGAACACCAAUAGCGAAGGCAGCUCGCUGGGACGGUACUGACGCUAAGGCGCGAAAGCGUGGGGAGCAAACAGG
rnacentral:rRNA from 1 species